rnacentral:rRNA from 1 species
UAAUACGUAGGAUGCAAGCGUUAAUCGGAAUUACUGGGCGUAAAGCGUGCGCAGGCGGUUUUGUAAGUCUGUCGUGAAAUCCCCGGGCUCAACCUGGGAAUGGCGAUGGAGACUGCAAGGCUAGAAUCUGGCAGAGGGGGGUAGAAUUCCACGUGUAGCAGUGAAAUGCGUAGAGAUGUGGAGGAACACCGAUGGCGAAGGCAGCCCCCUGGGUCAAGAUUGACGCUCAUGCACGAAAGCGUGGGGAGCAAACAG